GUUCACAAUAGGUAGCCUUGUCUCAGAUGGUCCCAGAUGGCAGCAUCUGCAUUCCAGGAUUCAGGAUAAAGGAAGGGUGAAGAAGAAGAAAUGGCACAUCCUGUACUUCCUCUUAAGCUCCAUGUGCAUCCGUCGCCAAGCUGUAUGCUCCGUCGAAGAGGAUGACCUUCCCCCACAGAGGAGGACUGUUCUUCCGUCAAGGAUUAUGGAGGGAAUGCAUUCUAGACAAUAAAAUCUAAGGGGAAAAAUAUCGCCAUCCUGUUUCAGCACUGCCAUUAAAACCAACGGUGGUGGCCAUUGUUGUGUAAAGGGAAGAAAACAAGUUUACAGUUCCUCAUUUCCCACGGUAAACAGAUUGCUCAUUUUAAUUUUGAAAAUAAAGCGAUGGAGGCUAUGUAGGUCUGUAAAUAAGAAUGUGCAUCUCAAUUUUCUGUAAAUGCUUAAGUGGUUUACAUCUGUUUCCUCCCAGUUGUAUUUCUCAAACAUGAAUUUCCAUUUUAAAAAGAGUCGUAAAAUCACUACUGUUUCUCUGUGGAUCUAUUAGCAAUAAAAUAGCCUACAGAGGUUUGCACAGCCAUGGAAAAUGUACAGUGAUAAUAGGCUGUCCUGCUGUUACAUGGCUUAUGCAAACUUUACAUUUAUCACGGCAGAACCAUCUAUCCGCAGGGUUGUAGCACAGCAAACAAUGGAAUGAAAAAGACCAAGAGAAGGAAGACGAGUCCAAAAUCUCUGUGUACACAUCAUUAAUCAGACAAGAUGAAUUCUCAAACUUGGAAGCAUGUUUCCUCAGAGCCAACUGAGAAAAGGAGCAGGAGGGCGGAGGAUGUGCUGGGUUGGUCGCAAUCUGCAAAGUACAACUUUCCAUAAAAAUCACCUCCAACAAGCAAAAUCACUUGCUUGUCUCAUUGACACGUUGUGGGGUUCACUCACACUUUUGUAUUUUUUUAAAAGAACCAAGCCAGGUCAUUUGUUGAAAACUUUUAGUCCAGCAGAGGAUGCAAUUAUUCUUUCUUUGAGCCUUUCAAGUAAAAGGGCUCAAAAUAGACCAUUGCUUCCUCACGCACCGGUGGGGCCUCCCUAAUCCUCCUCUACUCGCCCUGUCUAGGAAGCAGCUGGGUGACACACAGCGUGUUUAUCCAGCCCCUAAAAUCCUGCAUCGUAAGUCAGACUGAGUGGUCAUAUUCCUCCAACCCCACUUUGCAUCCCAGUGAAAUUCUACCAUGUACAGGGAAGCUCAAAAGAGAGAGAAGUUUGAGAAACAAUUCUUCAGCCUUUAAGAGGGAAGAUGGAAGAGGUACCUUUCAAUUAAAUGCUCUGAUGAGUGAUGAUACUCCACCCUGGAAGUUCGACUACUUCAGGAAUAUACCAAGAUAGAGAUGAAUCUAAGGAGGCCAAGGAGCUGCCCAGGUAACUGCAAAGGCGUGUGGACGGCAUCAGUGCUGCAGACCCUGCUGAGGUUUCUCUGGUCAGGAUGGAGAAAACAGACCCUUUUACCCAGCUGGACCCCACCCUACCCCACAGUCCAGUGGCCACCAGUCCGGUAAAUACCCAGGGCUGAGGACGCGCUGGGGCAAGGCACGUACUCUCAGCUACUUCCUAUGCCCAGGGCCGAGGGAAGAGGUGGAAGGGACAGACCAAGGGGCAGGGCUGCCAUGCUGAGAGCUGGAAGGCGGAGAGCUCAGGUCCUGCGGGUGGACGCAGACCCCAGGAAGAGCCCCCUGGUGUGGGCUGAGUCCACACCCGAAGAGAACUGGCCAGAGCUCCAGGAGUGGCCUCUUCUCAGUCACAGCGACAUGUGUUGAGUUGGACAGGAAGGGCCAGGACCACAAAGAGGCCCCAAGUGGGAACUGACGUUUCCUCAGCCCAGUGUGGUCCGGGGAGGUGAGAUGGAGGUUGGGGAGCGGGGAUGCGGAGCAGGGGAGGUUGGUGCCCACCGGGCCUCUAGCAAUAGCCGGCGGGCAGUCCUGACUUGGAGAGAAGGUGGUCUGCUCUCCUCCACGCUCUCUUGGCAGAACAUUCAUGGGAAUGUCAGUCUGGAAGACAUCUCUGGACUGCGUAACUUCCUUAAUGCUGGCUGUGGUGGAGGCCAGGAGCCAGCCGCCCUCACCCACUCUCUGGAAGGGGACCGUUUUGUCUGCCUGGUGACGUGUCAGCCCUGCGGCCGACCUGUGGCCCUGAAGGAGAGGCUCCAGGGAUGCUGCCCUCAGGUGAGAGCGGAUGCUCCAGAAAAUGUGCCCUCCGUUUGUCUCUAGGAGAAGCAAAAAUCCUUCAAUCAUCUACAAAACGGUGCCUUUUCCUUCUAGAAGAUGGCUGCAUGUAGAGAGGGCAGAAAAAAAAAAAAAAGGACAAAACACCAAGUGCAGAAUAAUGUCACAGUAAGCUGGGCUCCCUCUCCAUUUUUCACAUUGUUUCCUAUUUGCAAUAGCUACUGGGUGCCAGAGAGGAGAGGAACAACUUUAAAAAACAAUUAGCAGGACAUGUGGUGUUCAUUCUUGGCUGGCACUCUGCAGGCCUCAUCUUCCGGCAAAUACUCCGUCUCUCAUGAAAAAUGUUUUAGAGCUAAUGAUCUAUAUUCGCAUUCCCCGUAGAAUGGAUUCAGAAUUUUUCAUCUACGCCGCACCAUGAAAAAUGGAUGUGUUUGGCACAGAAGUCAUUUGAACAUAAAGCCCGGCCUCAGUGGAAAGACAACCUUCAGAACAACUUUUCAAGUAACUUAGUUCAUUCGUACUUGCUUCCACCCGGGAAGGUCAGGUUCGUGUGAAAGAUGGAAAUUUCUCGCACAAACCUGGAUGCUGAUGAGAUUUGUUUUUGCAGAUAAUCUGCAGCAGUGAAAUUUUUCAUAAUGUCACUGCAAAAUAAAUUAAAAUGUUCAUCUUCAUAUGGCUGGUUCCAUUGCAUUAAAAUAAAUGUUGCAAGCUCAUUUAAUUAGUAUAGUUAGGAAUGUCUCUUCCCUGCUUCACUGACUCUCCAAAUCACAAGUUAAUUUGUCAAAAUCAGACCAUUGUUUUUCCUUCAUUCUUCAUUACUAGAGACAGCCCCAUUUAAAUAAAUGUUUAUGCUACAGAGAGCAGAGCAGUGAACAACCCCAAAUAUUUUCACAAGCUAGUGUUGGAAAAGUUUAAAACACAGGGAGUGAGGAUGCAUUUUUUUCCCUCCCUUUGCGGUUAUUGGAUAUUUGACUGGCUGAAAAGGUACAAAAUUGAGCAGUCUGCUGUAACCGAUGAUGCUGCAUCCGCCGUUGCUCAUGUCGGCGGGCUACAUCCCGCCGCAGUUUUCUUCUCUGUUUUCAAAGACAAAUGAUGACAAAAGAUACCAUCUCUAUCAAUUACCCUUAUCAGAUCGUUCUCUUCAAGAAGCCUUGGUUAAUCAAUUAGAUGGUGUUUUUUGGGCGUGGAGGUCUGAACUAGGUGGGGAAGAGGGGGUUCUGGUUUUUAUAGCCGUUUGCUCACCAUUCCUAGCUGCGAGUAGCCACUCUUCCUGCUGAAAAUUCAAGGGAUAACCAAAUUCCAGGGUUUCCUUCUUUCCUCUCUCACUUCCCAACCCUCCCAAACCUCCAAGAAAAUAUUAGAAGUACCAAUGACCAUUGAUAAAGCAUGAGUUCCUGGCUCAUAGAAGUAUGUUGGGGUUAAUGAUGAAGACCAGGGAAAAGGGGUUCACAUAAUUAGCUGAGGUGUUACAUCUGUGGAGGUCUUCUGGAAGGCAUCCAUCAGUAAUGGAUGAAAGCACUUAUCAGAUCAUUAUCAGUGCCCCAUACUAAUGAGACAUCGCAUUCCUGCACCCUAGAGGCUUCUCCACGAGAAAAUGCCGCAGCGCUCAGCUCCAGAUUCAGCCUCAACGGGGGGAAGGCCAACUUUCCUCCCCGAAGCUUUGUCUUUCACCAGCAUGGAGUGACCCGACCUCCUUCCUCCGUAAAGAAGCCAAAAGAUAGGUUAGCCUUUUUCUUCUUACUGGGUAGGGUUUUCUUGUCCUGUGACCCAUUUUCCUACGCUGCUCUUGCUUUGCACGGCUUUUCUCCCCUGGGGCAGAGGAGUUCAAGGAAAUGGAUGUGGUUCUUCAGAUUUCUCGGUAGGUGGUGGGUUGAAAAGGCUUUCAAAGUUGUCCUCAGUAUGGUUCUGAUGAAGUCUAAUCUGAAGAAUGAAACUUUCAUUUUUUUCUUUUCUUUUUUUCUCUUUUAUUUUUUGGUACAAUUCCUCAGGACCAACAUUGCUUCAUUAGUAAAUUAUUUAAUGAACAAGAAGAUUUAAUUACUAUGUAUUAUACAAAUGUGCCUGUUUGACUUUCAAAAAUCAGACUCAGGCAGGCAGGAAGCAGCAGCAUCCCUGGCUUCCCUCCUUGACAGCUGGGAGUUGCCUGAAAGUAGUAGCUGAGCAGGGCACUGCGCCUGCAUUCAUUCAUUCACUCUUUCAUCUCAUAAACCUCUGUUGGUGGCCCUGGACUAGGCACUGGGUGUGCAGAGCCAAUCUCCUUUUCUUACAUGAAAGAAGUGGAGCCUUCUGACUAGACCAGGGCCAAUAUUCCUGUCGCCUACUAUUCAACCCCUGAACCAGGCCACCUUAUCUACAAUGGUCCAAUUUUACUGGAAACAGCAUUUGUGCCUCUGGUUGGCCAUGGAGCAGCCUUUGGGAAACUGGAAAUCAAGCCAUGCACAUAAAAGACAAGUAAAUUGAACGAAGGGGGAAUGCCUGGGGAAUUCAUUAUAAGGCAACUUUUGAACAUAUAGAUGAAAUUUUUAAAUGAAAAUCAAUCCAAAAGCUAAGCAGGUAAGCAAACUGUGGUAUAUCCAUACAACUGGAUGUUAUUCAGCCACAAAAAGGAAUGAAGUAGUAAUACAUGCUACAACGUGGAUGAACCUUGGAAACAUUGUGCUAAAGGUAAGAAGAUACAAAAGAGCACAUCUUGUAUAAUUCCAUUUAUAUUAAAUAUGAAGAAUAGGCAAAUUCAUAGAGAUGGAAUGUAGAUUAGUGGUCUCCAGGGGCUGGGGGAAGGGAGGCAUGGUGAGUGACCACUUAUAGGUACAGUGUAUGUUUGGGGGUCGUGUUUCGGGUGAUGAAAAUGUUCUGGAAUUAGAGAGUGGUAAUGGUUGCUUGACCUUAUGAAUACUAAAACCCACUGAAUCGUACACUUUAAAAUGGUGAAUCUCAUGCAAAUUAUAUCUCAAUAAAAUAUAUAGAAGGCAAUUUUCAAACAUACAGAUUGAAAUUCUGAAAUCAUAAAAUUUUUUUCACUGAGAAAUUCUCAGUACCAUUUUAUGAUACAUCUAAUGAAUGAGUACCAAAAACCAUACACGUGAAGAUGAAAAGUUAUAAAGAUCAAAAUGGGGGAAUGGGCUUCCAUUUUUGUGAGAAUUAAAUCAGGACCUAAAGCAAACCUUUCACACAGGGCUUCGGAGGGAUCAGGACAUGACCACUUGUGUCUCUACUUCUAAUUCCAAAACAGAAUCAUUCAGGCCUGGGUUACCCACAUCACUGGAUAUUUUAUGAACUCCUGUUUUUCUUAACCUGCUUGACAACAAAAACGCUUUUGCUUACCUCUCUGAUAAGCAGCCCUUUCUCUGAUCCCUGUUGAUAGAAAUUAGACAGUAAUCUGUUCAAAUCAGCGUUUACAGGCAAGAUGAGUUUUCCAGAAGAGAGAAGGAAAGGACUCAAAGCGGCCAAUCAAAGGGCUCUGUGGAGGAAACCCAGGUAGAACCCCAGUAAUAAAUACAUUUAUUGCCUGGACAGUAAAAAGUACUGGAGAGUUUAAAAUAAAUUCUGAGUUAUUUAAACUUAAUUUAUGACCAGGAAAAUAAACCCUCUCUUCCACCAUUAAUGUUUUUUAUCUGGGCCAUCAAAUGUCACACGCUACUGAUUUUGGUUGUAAGGUCACUGGAAACAGCAUAUCAGAGGUGUCAGCACCACAAAUCAAGUGAAAUUCCUUUAAAAAUAAAAAUGUCAAGAGUAAAGUAAUAGGCAAUAGUUACUUCGUGCUAUGAAAGACUUCUAAUAUAUCAAAAGGUUCACCUUUUUCUACCUUAAUGGUGUAUCACUUUGAGCACUAAAUAUACUUCUGCUUAACAGAUAAAGUAAAGAAAACAGGCAUCAGGAUGCCGAUGAUAAUAAGAAUGAUGACAUAUAAUAAAACUAUUUGCAGGCACAGAAACAUUAGAAGGCAGAAGCCUGGAUAUAUCAAAAGACAAACAAUGACCCUGAAUAUAGGGAGAUCUGCUCUCUAGCAUGUCAGUUAUUUUAAGUUUAAAGGUCAACUAAAACAGUGUCUUUGAAAUCAGAAUACAAAUUAUAUUGGGUUUGGGUAAGAAAAAAAUGAACAUCUUAGAGCUAAUGUGAUUCUACACAGAGGUCUAAACCCUGAAGCAAUCCUCUGGUCUUUUACCUAAGGACUGAAUAAAACAGAAGCAAGUGCCCAUGUGCUGGGAGGAGAUGAAAGGUAAAGGAGACUUGGAGCAGACGGAUUCUUCACGAUCCUGAUGUUAAACAACUGACAGGCAGUGGCAUUUGCCAUACUGUGUCGUUGCUAAAUGCGUGAACUCCUGGCAGGGUAAAUUCAGCCAGGAUUAUUCUUUAUGCCAAAGCAUCUGACUGAAAGGGUUAUCAAAGCCCCAGAUAACAAGAAAUGACUUUGUUUCAUCCUUGUGACAUAUCUUACAGCGAUUUUCUAGGACGUUAAAGGUAAAACCUUGCUUCCUGAUUCAAAGACUCAUAAUCCAGUGGAUGAAACGGCUCCAGGGAAGGAUAAAGGAGGAUGGAGCCAUUCACACAGAAGCACAAAUUUCCCCCAAGAUGGUAGUGAACAGUUAGAGAAAAGCCAUAAUUCUCUAGUUUAAGCCUCCCAAAGUUCUUUUAUCAUUGGGAGUAGUGGGGAGGGGAAGAGGAGGUCAUGUUUGCCCAUCAGCAGGUACCAUGGGGUGGGAGAUGGGCCAGUGUCAUCACUGGAGUCCCAGUACAGGUGCUCUGCAUUUCAGAAAAGUCAAGUGUGGCUGACUCCAGAAUGGAGUAUCCCUCUUGGCUCUGGUGGCUAUAGAAUUUUAGUGAUGAAAUUGAACGCCAAAGACUUGAACUUCUAUCUCCUUUCAUGUGACAGAUGAGGAUACUGAGGCUCAACUCCAAGAGGGAAAUGCUUGAGGACACAGCCAAGAUGAGAGCCUCCACUGUGGCCCCUGGCUCCGGCCAGGCCACUGAUGUGACUGUCACACACAAGCCCCACUUGUGUGAAGCAGCUGUUCCAACUGGGAGGCAGGCUCCCUGGAAUGAUCUCCAGUCCUUGAUUUGAUGUGUAUGUGAUGAUAGCAUUCAAGUUCACUCAAAAGUAAUUGCUGGGACUUCCCUGGUGGCGCAGUGGUUAAGAAUCCUCCUGUCAAUGCAGGGUACAUGGGUUUGAGCCCUGGUCCAGGAAGAUCCCACAUG